ACAGUGAGCUUGAGGAAUUGGAUUAUGUUAUGUUCAUAUACACCAAGGGACUUCUUCUUCCAGACCAAAUCAAGUAAAAUUGACUGGACAUUCUCUAUUCUCACAACAGUUAGAUAUUAAAAAGUACAAAAAAUUGCUAUUUUGACACACUGGAUAUAGCAUCAAAGGACAAUGAUGCUGAGAGACAAGGUCAGAUGAGCCCUCUUCUACUGAAGUUACAACCUCAAGAAAAUUUCCAGAUGGUGACCUCGAGAGAGAAGACCCUGGAAUGAAAUAUGGAUGGAAAUCCAGGGAUCACAGGGCAAGGAACCAGAGAGGCAGCUGAUAUACAACGAAAAUUCUAUUAUUCUGUGGAGGACCCACUUUGAAUAUCCAGUUAAAAAUAAAUCAGAACAUCUACAAAGAAGCUAAUCAGGAAGGCAAAACGUAUUUAAUGGAACCUGGCCAUACAGGAUGCUGCAACUGGUCAUAAUGAUGUGAAUAAGAUGGCCUUAAAUGAGCUUUAAUGAGGUCUUCUACUUGGCAAAGAACCUGUGAGACCAAAAACCAUUGCCAUUUGUUAAAAGAUGGAGAAACCCUGAUGACAAGCAGAUUUUUCAUUGCAUUUCACUUUCUCUCCAGCUACUGUCUUUACCAGCUCACACCGAUGUUCAGCUCUUCCCACUGUUCACACCAACAACCUGAAGGAAGGUCUGGGAUUUGGGCCUGUAGACCUGCUACAUUCCUUAAGAUUCUCCUGAAAAUCCCAAUUCAGAAUAAUCCCUGA
rnacentral:lncRNA from 1 species